CGCAGUGGUUAACGAAUCCGACUAGGAACCAUGAGGCUGCGGGUUCGAUCCCUGCCCUUGCUCAGUGGGUCAAGGUUCCGGCGUUGCCGUGAGCUGUGGUGUGUGUAGGUCGAAGACGCAGCUCGGAUCCUGCAUUGCUGUGGCUCUGGCAUAGACUGGCAGCUACAGCUCCGAUUCGACCCCUAGCCCGGGAACCUCCAUAUGCCGCAGGAGCAGCCCAAGAAAUGGCAAAAAGACAAAAAAAAAAAAAAAAAAAAAAAAGAAAACAACUAUGGUUACCAAAAAGAAAAGGUGAAGGGAGGCAUAAAUUAAAAGACUGGGAUUAACAUAUACAUACUACUAUUUAUAAAACAUAUAACCAAUAAGGCUACGUAUAGCACGGGGAAUUAUACUCAAUAUUUUGUAAUAACCUAUAAGGGAAGAGAAUUUGAAAACAAUAAGUACAGGUGUGCUAUACACCUGAAACUAACACAGUAUUGUAAAUCAACUACACUUCAAUUAAAAAAAAAAUAAGAACAGGAAGUUCCCUUGUGGUGCAGGGGAUUAGGGAUCUGGCUUUGCCACAGCUGUGAUGCAGGUCGCAACCCUGGCAACAGUUCAAUCCCUGGCCCAGGAACUUGCACAUGCUGUGGGUAUGGCCAAAAAAACACAAUUAUUCCUCGUGGUUCCUUUGGUUGGAUGGGGCUCAGCUGGGCCGUUCUGGUAGGAAUUUGGCUGGAGCUAGAAUGAUCAAGAUCGCCAUAGGCCUCUCUCCACGUGGCCUUUAUCUGGUCUCUUACAUAACAAACUGACUAGCAAGAAGGAAUAUCCCAAUCAAGGCAGACAGAAACUACAGAUCUGCUAAGGCUCCAUCCUAGAAGUUACAUAUUAGCACUUCCAUUCUAUUCUAUUGGUCAAAACAAGUCACAGGGCCAACCCAGAUUCAAAGAGAGGGGACAAGGACUCCAUCUCUUGAAAGGUAAUUGUCCAGGCUAGGGGUCAAAUCAGAGUUGUAGCUGCUGACCACAGCUCACAGCAACACCAGAUCCGUAACCCACUGAGCGAAGCCAGGGAUCGAACCUGUGUCCUCAUGGUUGCAAAAGCCCUUUUUAAAAGAGCUCAGCUUUUUUCCUUAGAUAACAAAACUCACUCUUCCUGUAAAAUGUUUUUGCUCAAGUUUGCAACUCUCGAAUUUACACCUUUCCGUUCACAUAUGCUACUAGGACUACAUUUGCAUGUAGAUUCUUGUCAGCUCCCUCUUUCCCCUGCAAUAAAUCAGUUAACUUUAAAAUUGUGAUCAUAUCUAUAAAAUAAACGUUCAUAAAACAAAUAGUAUAUUCAUCUUAUACAGAAAUAAAAAUUAAUUUCUUCCACUCACAAAAGGAAUUUCUAUUUUAUAAAAAUGUGUCUUGUAUUUUGGAGUAUUAUGAAAUCAGUAUAAG
rnacentral:lncRNA from 1 species